GCCACGUCCGUGCCGGCGGCCGCGGUAAGAGCGAGGGUGCGGGCGUGGUCCGGAAUGACGUGGCGGAAAGAGCUCGUAGUGGGGUGUUCGCGUCGGUUGUGAAAACUCGGAGCGUAACGCCGGGCGUGCAGGCGAUACGGGCAGACUUGAGUACUACAGGGGAGACUGGAAUUCCUGGUGUAGCGGUGAAAUGCGCAGAUAUCAGGAGGAACACCGGUGGCGAAGGCGGGUCUCUGGGUAGUAACUGACGCUGAGGAGCGAAAGCAUGGGUAGCGAACAGGAUUAGAUACCCGUGUAGUC
rnacentral:rRNA from 1 species